rnacentral:rRNA from 1 species
UACGGAGGGAGCUAGCGUUGUUCGGAAUUACUGGGCGUAAAGCGCACGUAGGCGGCGAUUCAAGUCAGAGGUGAAAGCCCGGGGCUCAACCCCGGAACUGCCUUUGAAACUAGAUUGCUAGAAUCCUGGAGAGGUUAGUGGAAUUCCGAGUGUAGAGGUGAAAUUCGUAGAUAUUCGGAAGAACACCAGUGGCGAAGGCGACUAACUGGACAGGUAUUGACGCUGAGGUGCGAAAGCGUGGGGAGCAAACAGGG